rnacentral:lncRNA from 1 species
CAGCAACAGGAGGAGGAUCUGAAAGUGCAAUUAUACAGAGUUCAAGUAUCAUUUCAUAACCAAAUUUAAAAAAAAAAAAAAAAAAAAACAAGAAAAAAAAUUAACAAUAAAAAUGUAUUUUCAGAUGCAUUUUAUCUUUUUUUUUUUUUUUGGAUAGUUUAGUAACAGCCAAAAAGUAAUGGUUGGAAACUUUAAAAAGUUUUAUAUUAUGUUAGUAGAAAUCUUAUGUAAGAUUUGACCUCUACAUACUUUGUUUAUUAUAUAGAUCUUUUUUUCUAGUGCAAAUUUUCGUUGUGAAUAUGGAGAAGGGAAAGGAAAAGAAAUGAAUUUUGUAUGGAGUAUCUAGAAAGGGCCGUUUGGUUGAUCGAAUAAGGAUAAAUAGAAUAUAUGUAAUCAAAUAUAAUAUAAAUUUAAUUUCAAGCGUAAUUUUGAAUAUUUCACCUUGUCCUUCUCACCUCUGGAGUGACAUAAAUCAGUUCAAGGAUUAUAAUCCAGUGAAAGAAAUUAAACGACCACCAAGUACAGGGGCGGAUUUAGUGGGGUUCAGGAAUGGCAUGACAUCUAUAAACUUCGAUCGGAAAAUUAUGUGUAUAUAUAUAUUUUGAAGAAAAUUGAUAUAUUAUUUAAGUGUCACCCGGUGCAGCAGUUGACGAAGUAGUGUCAGUGGCAAACGCGCUGAAAUUUCACGUAGUAUACCAGAGUUCAAAUCUAAACGCCAGCAGUAUUUUGUUACUUUUUAUUCUCUAUUUUAUCUUCUAUAAGUUUUUUUCCUCUUGACUUAAUCUUUGUUUGACUUCUUUUUUUGGGUAAUCUUUAUUUAAGAAUUUAUAACUUUAAGUGUAGAACAUAAUAAUUUCUUAAUAAUAGAAUUGAAAAUAUCCAUUGAAUGUUGACAGCUAUUUUGUACUUUUACGCUGAUUGAUAAGUAAAAUUUAACUCUUGUUUACACAAUUUAUAGUAAUAACAACAACAACAACAAAUCCAGUGUAUACACACAUAGUGGGGUCUGGAGAGGGUAAAAUGUAUGUAGUCCAUACACUACCUCCGAAGAAGUAGAAAGGUUAUUUUCGAUAGUAUUUAUAGUACUAAUCACAUUUUUAUUAUUUGAUCUAUUUGUCUAUACAAAUUGAAAAGACAAAAAAUCAAAUCGAAACCCAAAGUUUAUAAUAUCGACAAAAUUUUUGUCUUAUUUAGGGCAGUGUAAAUAGCAAAACGUAUAGCAAAAAAAUUAACUAAUUUCCAACUGAAUUCGUAAAAGUUAGGUUCUUCGACAAUGUUUCAAUGAAAUUUUCCUUCAAAAAUCUCUUACUAACAAGUCAAAUUUCAGUGGGACACCCAUAAAAAUUAUCAUUUUUGAGUAAUAGCUUUAACGUUAAAAGUGAAAUGGCACCCACAACCUCGAAAUCCUAGAUCCGCCUCUGACCAAGUAUAUAUCUUCCUCUAAUUAAACAUCCAAAAUUUUAGUCUUUAGGCAAUGUUUAACUAUCUAGUUUAUAUAAAUACAUGUUUACGCCAUCCAUGCCAGACCCCACUCGCAGGAACAAAAUUUCACGACCACAAACAUAAGUUUAGCCACAUAAAAGGAAAACGUCAAUCAGAAGGAAAAGUUCUACUACUAUAUAAAGAAAGAAAGAAAGAAAGAGGACUAAUUUUAUAAGAUCAUGGUUUCGAGGGGAAGAAAAAAAUAAAGUUGAUUUUUGUAGUUGAUGAGGUGCUUGUGCUAUAAUUGGCCUGACCCGACCCGACCCGGCAAGAGAUGUAGCCCUAGCAAGUAAGCAUUUCCUUUUCCAACAACACUCAAAUGUUAUUGACUUUUACAAUGGCUUUGCUAUUAUCAGUACUUUUAGUCAAACUGUUGAUUGUGGAACCCCUCCACAAGAGAAUCAAUUCUACUUCCUCAAUCAGAAUUUCCACUGAAGCGUGGUUAUUGUUUGGGAUAAUGGUUAUGACUCAACUAUUGGUGACUAUAAGAUCCUAAAAAUUCACAAUCCCAAAGAGGGAAGCAAAGUACCUGGUGAGAUUCUCACGUUGAAAAGUGGUUUGUGGAGAAAUAUGGACGAAGUUUUUUGUCCGGGAAUUCUGCUUUGCCAUUAGUAAACAGUGCAUUUCACUGGAUCUGUAUGUCUGGAGACUAUUUCGCGGUUUCAAGAACUCUCUUUGGUUUCAUUUAGUAUUUCAAAUCAAGUGUACUCAGAGAUACCGUUGCCAGAGCAAGUAUUAAUUACGUAUAGAGGGCAAUGUUGAUGUUGGCAUUUCUGAAUUGAACGGAAUGCUUUGUGCUUGUUGUACGUAUAUUCAUCAGCGGUGGCACAAUUUUAAGUACCGAAAUAUUUGUUUGCGGACGGUGAUGUGCUAUUCCGGUCCAUAUAUUUGCGAGAUAAACUGGCAAAUUCAUUUAGGACAUCCUGGAAUGGACAUGUUCUUACGGAAAGCUUGAUAUUUCCAAAAUCACUUAUUUAGUGUUGAUCUAGGAACUCUUUUCUUUUUCCAGUCACCAUGUUGUAACCUUGUACUCUUGUUAGUUUAUCAACCAGAGUGAUUUUAUUAAUAAGAAUGGUUAAACCCAUCUUCUCUUUUACUUAUAUUAGUGUUUUUCCAGCAUAUUGUUAAUCCUUAUGAAUAUUGCGUUAACUGAACUUGUUGAGGCUGUUCAGCUCUAAGUCUUUAACAUGGCAUAUGAGGAGGUUUCUUUGUUUUGUCAGAAAUAAAAUGAUUU